CGAGAGGGUUCGGNNNCGGCGUACUACUCAGUAACACGUGGAUAANNNGCCCUAAGGAAGGGGAUAANNNCGGGAAACUGAGGAUAAUACCCUAUAGGUUACAGACGCUGGAAUGCCCUGUAACCGAAAGCUCCGGCGCCUUAGGAUGGAUCUGCGGCCGAUUAGGUUGUUGUUGGGGUAACGGCCCAACAAGCCGAUAAUCGGUACGGGUUGUGGGAGCAAGAGCCCGGAGUUGGAUUCUGAGACACGAAUCCAGGCCCUACGGGGCGCAGCAGGCGCGAAAACUUUACAAUGCGGGAAACCGUGAUAAGGGAACCUCGAGUGCCUGUAUAUGCAGGCUGUCCAGGUGUCUAAAAAACACCUGAAGAAAGGGCCGGGCAAGACCGGUGCCAGCCGCCGCGGUAAUACCGGCGGCUCGAGUGGUGGCCACUUUUAUUGGGCUUAAAGCGUUCGUAGCUGGGUUGUUAAGUCUCUUGGGAAAUCUGACGGCUCAACCGUCAGGCGUCCAAGGGAUACUGGCAAUCUUGGAACCGGGAGAGGUGAGGGGUACUUCGGGGGUAGGAGUGAAAUCCUGUAAUCCUCGAGGGACCACCUGUGGCGAAGGCGCCUCACCAGAACGGCUUCGACAGUGAGGGACGAAAGCUGGGGGAGCAAACCGGAUUAGAUACCCGGGUAGUCCCAGCCCUAAACGAUGCGCGUUAGGUGUAUCGGUGACCACGAGUCACCGAGGUGCCGAAGGGAAACCGUGAAACGUGCCGCCUGGGAAGUACGGUCGCAAGGCUGAAACUUAAAGGAAUUGGCGGGGGAGCA
rnacentral:rRNA from 1 species